CCCGCGCUCAGAGCGCGUCUCUGUGCCCGCCCGGCGGGCGGCGGGCGGCGGGGCUGGUCCCUGCGGCCCUUCGCUCCCAGGCGCUACACCCCUGCCUCAGUUUCCCCCUCUGCACCGGGAGGUGGCGUGCAUCAGGGCCCAGCCGCCGGCUGGAAUUCGGUCUUUGCAAGCGCCGCGCGCGGGAGGCGGCGGGGAGCGGGGCAGACAGGGCUGCCUGUGGGUCGUCUGUGUUUCCAAGACCGUAAACAAGUAAAGGAGAAAACAGACAAGAUCAUUUGAAAUAACACCAAGUGGUAACAUAAUAGAAGCACAGAUGGGAAAAUGGAGGCUGAAUCGCCUGUUGGAGGGAAAUGAGAAGUUGAAGCAGUUGAACGAUUUCCCCAUUUCCUCGAGCGUCCAGUACGUGGUGGAGACCAGAUUCGGACUGCAGACAUACUCUGGGUUCUCAGGAUUCCUGAAAUCCAAAGGUUCCAAGCUGGCUUCCAGGGCCUGUGCAAGCCUCUUGCUGUUUUGCGGGCCUGAAAUUCGGCCAGGGCUCAGCUGGGCGGUCCUUCUGAUCCAUGGGCGUUGACUAGUCACUUGGCCGCGUUCAGCUGAUGAUUGGUUUCAUCUGGAGGAACAAGAUGGUUUGGGAAGACUGCAGUGCUGAGCUCAGCCGGGUCCCUAAUUCCUUUCCAUUCCAGGGAUGUGCUGAGGCACCCACACAUGUGCAGCCCGGGAUCAUUUAUUGGAAAUUUAUUGGAAAUUUAUUGGAAAUUACCCUGGAGCACGGACAAGGCCCAUGCUUGGAAUGUAAGUGCCAGAAGAGGUGAACAUAAGCCAUGAGCCUGCAGAUGCCCCCUCCUUCCUGCGAUCCUUUGGCCGGGGUAGUGGGCAUAUUUCAUUAAACUAAGCUGGCACCAGAAAUUCAUGUCAUUCCACUUUCUUUAUACCCUGAAUGAACUCUGGACCAUGAGUAUGAGUAGGAGACUGU